AAGAGAAAGGGUAUGGGCAUGGCAUGGUGCCGUGUUCGCCGUGUGGCGGAAGCCACACGGUAGGUUUUUCUGCUCCUGCACGGCAGUCUCUCCCCUUCCCUUUUGAAAAGGGGGUAUAGCUCAACUGGCUAGAGCGACGGCUUUGCAGGUCGUAGGUCAGGGGUUCGAGUCCCCUUAUCUCCAGGGAAAGCCCACUAUUAUUCUUUAUGUCCCUUUGUUUUGUUUAUGGGGUAAGGAGUAGGUGGUAGGUGAUUUUUGAGAGUAUUAGGGUGGGGUGUGAAGUUGAGAAGGGAUGGAUAAUAU
rnacentral:tRNA from 2 species